rnacentral:rRNA from 1 species
AACGGGAGGGGCGAGUGUUACUCAUCUUGAUUGGGCGUAAAGCGUACCUAGACGGCUUUUGUAACUAAAAGUCAAAGACCAGGGCGUAACUUUGUGUAGACUUUUACAGAUUAUUAAGCUAAGGGUGUUCGGGAAGUUAGCGGAUUUUUUAAGGUAGAGUUAAAAUUUGUAGAUAUUAAAAUGUCCAUCAAACCGCGGAGGCAGCUAACUAUCGAAAAACUGACGUUCAAUUACUAAAGCGUGGGUAUCAAACAGG